rnacentral:rRNA from 1 species
UACGGAGGGUGCAAGCGUUAUCCGGAUUUACUGGGUUUAAAGGGUGCGUAGGUGGGUUGGUAAGUCAGUGGUGAAAUACUUUCGCUUAACGAAGGAACUGCCAUUGAUACUACCAGUCUUGAAUACAGUGGAGGUAGGCGGAAUGCGUCAUGUAGCGGUGAAAUGCUUAGAUAUGACGCAGAACACCAAUUGCGAAGGCAGCUUGCUACACUGUUAUUGACACUGAGGCACGAAAAGCGUGGGGGAUCAAAACAGG